GAUUCAUCUAAAAUAAUUAACACGCUCUCAUUUGUCCUCUGGGGUUUUCCUUCAUGUUUCUGCUCAGGAUGGACUGCACAGAUGACAGAUGACGUGGGCUGAUGAAAAUGUCCUUGCGGUCAGAUGCAGCACACGGCCAAGAAGCUGAAUUACAUCCAAACGCUUUGUUACUUACACACACAGACUGAUCAACCAGAGAUAUACCAGCAGCUGACAGAAAACCACCAUUGUUAACAUUGUACAAAACGAACGUGAAUCUAUUCUUUAACACGAAAGUUCAAUUGCAUUAAUAAACACAUGA